AUUGAACGCUGGCGGCAGGCCUAACACAUGCAAGUCGAGCGGAGCGGCGGACGGGUGAGUAAUGCCUAGGAAUCUGCCUGGUAGUGGGGGAUAACGUCAGGAAACGGGCGCUAAGAUCGCAUACUAUCAGAAGAGCCUAGGUCGGAUUAGCUAGUGGGUGGGGUAAAGGCAUACCAAGGCGAAGAUCCGUAACUGGUCUGAGAGGAUGAUCAGUCACACUGGAACUGAGACACGGGCCAGACUCCUACGGGAGGCAGCAGUGGGGAAUAUUGGACAAUGGGCGAAAGCCUGAUCCAGCCAUGCCGCGUGUGUGAAGAAGGUCUUCGGAUUUUAAAGCACUUUAAGUUGGGAGGCGUUACCAACAGAAUAAGCACCGGCUAACUUCGUGCCAGCAGCCGCGGUAAUUC
rnacentral:rRNA from 1 species